AUUGAACGCUGGCGGCAGGCUUAACACAUGCAAGUCGAGCGGAGCGAGGGUGCUUGCACCUUAGCUCAGCGGCGGACGGGUGAGUAAUGCUUAGGAAUCUGCCUAUUAGGGGGGGACAACAUUCCGAAAGGGAUGCUAAUACCGCAUACGCCCUACGGGGGAAAGCAGGGGAUCUUCGGACCUUGCGCUAAUAGAUGAGCCUAAGUCGGAUUAGCUAGUUGGUGGGGUAAAGGCCUACCAAGGCGACGAUCUGUAGCGGGUCUGAGAGGAUGAUUCGCCACACUGGGACUGAGACACGGCCCAGACUCCUACGGGAGGCAGCAGUGGGGAAUAUUGGACAAUGGGCGGAAGCCUGAUCCAGCCAUGCCGCGUGUGUGAAGAAGGCCUUUUGGUUGUAAAGCACUUUAAGCGAGGAGGAGGCUACUAGUAUUAAUACUACUGGAUAGUGGACGUUACUCGCAGAAUAAGCACCGGCUAACUCUGUGCCAGCCGCCGCAGUAA
rnacentral:rRNA from 1 species